UUAAGGGAAAAUUCUUGGUGGAUUAUGUAAAUACAGAAAGGAGAGAGAUUCUCUCAAUUUCUGUUGCUUGAAAUUCUUCAAAUAAUAUUGCCAGAACCUAGAUAGUUUUCAUUUUAUUUGCAUCAGAGGCCUGUUGAAAGAAUUUUGUAUGUUUGCUUUGGAAUUUGAAUUUUUCAGUCCUUGGUUUGAAAGGGUGGUCACAACAUUAUAGAAGAAGAGACCAAUACAUUUGAAGUUGGGUAUACGAAAAGGUUGGAGAAAUUCUAGACAAGAUAAG
rnacentral:lncRNA from 1 species